GUUGAAGGCAGUUUGAGCUUUGGUGGCACGAGGGCUGAUUUCUCUAAGAUCCCUCUGAGCACAGCCGGCUGGCUUGGUUAGCUUUGAUUAGCAAAGGGCAUCCACAGCACAGCUUCGGUGCUUCAAAGUUGCAUAGGGGUUCUGAGUGCAAAAUCAUUGCAUGUAUGCGUGUUGCUUCCCAGCUUGCACGUGUGGGCAGCCCAUAGCAGAGCAUUGCAGGGUAUGCCCUCUGCAGCGCUCGUCUUUGCGGGUUUGGGUACAAAUAGCUGUGUGUGGCAGGGGAUCAAAGUUACAGAUAAUAUCAGUGAUGCAGACUUCGAUGUGUCACGAAGGCUGCUGCUGAUGGCAGUGUUUUAUAGCCCAGGUCUCCCUUAUGAGAUGUGCUGCUAAAUGACUCCUUUCAGUGGGUUCUCUUUCGGGAUUUCGGUUGGUGCAGCUCUUCUCCUUCAUGGCUCUGUGGUUAUGCAGAUGGAACGGCCUGAUUAGGAAGACUGAAGGACGGAGACUGGGAACGGAGUUCCUGGACAUCAGUGGGACCUUCUGCCUGCCCGGAGGGGACAGAGGUGCUGCAGCCUUGGAUUAUGGGAUGCAGGUGGAUGACCAAUGUACAGCGUGGACCUGGGACCUACUGGGGGAAGUCCUGGAGGAAAAGCACUGCUCACAGAUCCAGACGCUCCUGGGGAACUGGUGCCACCAGAUAAAGCUCAUUCCUGAGCUCAAGCUUGUUGCCUCCUGCUCAGCAACUGAUAAGGGAGCUGCGGUGCUUGCUUGGCCAUGAAAUAACGCAGGGAAACUCCAGUAAG
ensembl:lncRNA